rnacentral:rRNA from 1 species
CAGUCGCCGCGGGAAUACGUAGGUGGCAAGCGUUGUCCGGAAUUAUUGGGCGUAAAGGGCUCGCAGGCGGUUUCUUAAGUCUGAUGUGAAAGCCCCCGGCUCAACCGGGGAGGGUCAUUGGAAACUGGGAAACUUGAGUGCAGAAGAGGAGAGUGGAAUUCCACGUGUAGCGGUGAAAUGCGUAGAGAUGCGGAGGAACACCAGUGGCGAAGGCGACUCUCUGGUCUGUAACUGACGCUGAGGAGCGAAAGCGUGGGGAGCGAACAGGAUUAGAUACCCCUGUAGUCCCUGUCUCUUAUAC